CUACGGUGAAUACGUUCCCGGGGCCUUGUACACACCGCCCGUCAAACAAUGGAAGCUGAGGGUACCUAAAGUCGAUAACCGCAAGGAGUCGCCUAGGGUAAAAUCGGUAACUGGUGUU
rnacentral:rRNA from 1 species